rnacentral:rRNA from 1 species
GAUGAACGCUAGCGGCAGGCUUAAUACAUGCAAGUCGAGGGGCAACAGGGGUAGCAAUACCUGCUGGCGACCGGCAAACGGGUGCGGAACACGUACAGAACCUUCCUUUAAGCGGGGGAUAGCCCAUAGAAAUGUGGAUUAAUACCCAUAGUAAUAUUAGUUGGCAUCAAUUGAUAUUUAAAGAUUUAUCACUUAAAGAUGGCUGUGCGGCUGAUUAGGUAGUUGGUGNGGGUAACGGCCCACCAAGCCAGCGAUCAGUAACUGGUGUGAGAGCACGACCAGUCACACGGGCACUGAGACACGGGCCCGACUCCUACGGGAGGCAGCAGUAAGGAAUAUUGGUCAAUGGACGCAAGUCU